UACGAAGGGGGCUAGCGUUGCUCGGAAUUACUGGGCGUAAAGGGCGCGUAGGCGGAUGUUUAAGUCAGAGGUGAAAGCCCAGGGCUCAACCUUGGAACUGCCUUUGAUACUGGGCAUCUUGAGUAUGGGAGAGGUGAGUGGAACUCCGAGUGUAGAGGUGAAAUUCGUAGAUAUUCGGAAGAACACCAGUGGCGAAGGCGACUCACUGGCCCAUUACUGACGCUGAUGCACGAAAGCUAGGGGAGCAAACAGG
rnacentral:rRNA from 1 species